rnacentral:rRNA from 1 species
UCGAUUACCUGGUUGAUCCUGCCAGUAGCAUAUGCUUUCCUCCUGGAGAUUAAGCCAUGCAUGUCUAAGUAUAAGUUAUAUACAGCGAAACUGCGAAUGGCUCAUUAAAACAGUUAUAAUUUAUUUGAUAGUGUUUUUAUAUGGAUAACCAUUGGGAAACUAUGGCUAAUACAUACAUAAAGACCUUAGGGUUGUAUUUAUUAGUUUUGACCAAUCUUUGAUUGUGAGGAGUCAUAAUAACUGAUCGGAGCGCACUUGUGUGUGCUAAAUCAUUCAAGUAUCUGCCCUAUCAGAUUGUUGGUAGUGUAUUGGACUACCAUGUCGAUCACGGGUAACGGAGAAUUAGGGUUCGAUUCCGGAGAGGGAGCCUGAGAAAUGGCUACCACAGCUACGGUAGGCAGCAGGUGCGUAAAUUACCCAAUCCUGAUUCAGGAAGGUAGUUACAGGAAAUUUGUUGCAUGUACCUAUGGUACAGACGCAAACGAACACAUUUAAGUAUUGUGUGUUUAAUUGGGGGGCAAGUUUUGGUGCCAGCAGCCGCGGUAAUUCCAACCCCAAGAGUGUAUCUNAAUGUUGCUGCAGUUAAAAAGCUCGUAGUUGAAUUUCUGGCCGUUAGGUUCGGGUCAAACUGGACCAGGCGGUCAUCCGCUGAGAGAAUCAGUACAUCUUUAAUCGGUUGUAUUGAAGACCCAGCAUUUUACUUUGAAGAAAUUAGAGUGUUCAUGGCAGGCUACGCUUGCAUAUAUUAGCAUGGAAUAAUGGAAUAAGACAUUGUCUGUUCUUUUGGUUAACAGAUAUGUAAUGAUUAACAGGGACAGUCGGGGGCAUUCGUACUCAGUGGCUAGAGGUGAAAUUCUUAGAUCCNCUGAAGACGAACUAAUGCGAAAGCAUUNGCCANGGAUGUUUUCAUUAAUCAGAACGAAGUUAGGGGAUCAAGACGAUAAAA